ACAUGCAAACCCUUCCUUGAUACCCGACGCAGGUUAGCACUGAAGCAAAAACCAAUUCGAUAUUAGAAACGUCAGAAAAAUCAACACCUCGUCAAUUGAGGUUAGAUUACAUUGACCACGUGCUACUUGCCGGUGACUUUUAAACCUCUCAACAGGAAAACACCAUGCAUAAAUCAGAGAAAAAUCUUCGAAAAACAAUGGAUCAAAUACAGAAGAUGACCAACCGUGCGUUAGAAGUGCGUGUGGAUACCAGCCGGUUGACAGCACGCGUAAUCCUCGCCAACAACGUCGAGUACCUUGAGGAGAUCCAUCACUUUCGCCAAUCGCAACGCUUCACCGAAACCAGCCCGAGACUAAUCGACACGCCAAAACCGAAAACAAUAAACUGAGCGAAAAAAAGCCAGGGAAUAAAGAACACGACCAGCGAACUACUGAAUCAGAAAAAUUUAAUUUUUUUCCUUUCAUCUGCUUUUGUUUUCUGCAAUUUUUCUUUUAAUUACAAAUUAAUAAAUAUUAUACAGGCUGUCCGCUCAUCGUAACGUAAGCACUUA